rnacentral:rRNA from 1 species
UAGGGAAUCUUCCACAAUGGACGCAAGUCUGAUGGAGCAACGGCCGCGUGAGUGAAGAAGGCUUUCGGGUCGUAAAACUCUGUUAUUGAAGAAGAACGUGCGUGACAGUAACUGGUCAUGCAGUGACGGUAUUCAAUCAGAAAGUCACGGCUAACUACGUGCCAGCAGCCGCGGUAAUACGUAGGUGGCAAGCGUUGUCCGGAUUUAUUGGGCGUAAAGCGAGUGCAGGGGGCU